GAUUAUCCUUGGUAAUAAAGUAACAAGAAUAUUUAAUUAUUUGCCAUUAUCAUAGAUUUUAUGAUUUACUCAUGAAUUGCCCAUGACUGAUUCAAAAACUUUGAUGCCUUACAAAUUAAUGAUGCUAUAUGUUGUUACUGGUGGUCUUGUUUUUGCUACUAUUUAUGGUUAGUUCUCACCAAUUCUAUUUUUCUUGUGAAGAAAUAUAAUAGAUAGUUUCUUUAUUUAAUUAGAGUAGGAUAAGUGCAAAGUUUAGACCAAAAAAGGAAUCUUAUAUUCUAGUUGUUCAGUAGAUGCAGGGAGACAUUCUUGUUGUAUCAAUAUCAUCGAAUAUACUUUAUAUUAUAUUUAAUGUAGCUUUCUUCUUGAGAACAUGAUUUUGAAUUAAAUAUUCUGGCAAAACUUUUCCUGCCUGUCUAGCUACUAUCUCUGCUUUAACUAUCAUAGCUGGUAUCCCAGUAGUUUAGGAUACCAGCUAUGAGUUUUUUUUAAGAGCUACGACAUUAGCAUCUCAAAUAGAGCAUCAUGAAAUACGAAAAUACAUGCUCUUCUGAGAAGCAUUAUCUUCAUUCCAGACAACAUAUUCGGACAUUUAAACAUAUCAACAACUUGCAAGGAUAAGAAAUCAAACAGUAGGGAUUGUAGGUGAAGAGCCCUCUCUUUCACCCCUUUCACCGACACUGUUAUCUGCAAACUUUAAGCUUGCUGAGUGGAUGCAUUUCCGGAAGGUGUUACUCUGCCAUCAUCUUCAUACGAAGCCAAAAAACUGAUAAAAGAGUUGGACCUUGGAUAUGAGAAGAUACACAGUUGUCCGAAUGACUGCAUUUUAUAUCGUGGUGAAAAUAGGAACCAAGAGUCGUGCCGAAUAUGUGGAACCCCACGAUGGGGAAAACAUAAAGAUGACGAGAAUGAUUCGUUGACUGAAGUGGAUGCUGCACCGACUAAGAAAAAACCGGCUAAAAUUUUGAGGUAUUUUCCUCUUAUACCAAGAUUGAAAAGGAUGUUUGCAUCACCGAAGACGGCUUCCUCGAUGAGAUGGCAUGACGAAGGCCGUACAAAGGAUGGAAUGUUACGACACCCAGCGGAUAGUUCCGCAUGGAAAGCAGUUGAUGAUAGGCAUCCCGAAUUUGCUUCUGAUGCUCGCAGUGUCAGACUGGGUUUGGCUACUGAUGGGUUUAAUCCCUUUCGAACUAUGAGUUCGACAUACAGCACUUGGCCGGUUGUUUUGGUUCCAUAUAAUUUACCUCCAUGGAUGUGUAUGAAACAGUCUUCACUCAUUUUGUCAAUGGUU